rnacentral:rRNA from 1 species
GAUGAACGCUGGCGGCGUGCCUAAUACAUGCAAGUCGAGCGAACAGACGAGGAGCUUGCUCCUCUGACGUUAGCGGCGGACGGGUGAGUAACACGUGGAUAACCUACCUAUAAGACUGGGAUAACUUCGGGAAACCGGAGCUAAUACCGGAUAAUAUAUUGAACCGCAUGGGUCAAUAGUGAAAGACGGUUUUGCUGUCACUUAUAGAUGGAUCCGCGCCGCAUUAGCUAGUUGGUAAGGUAACGGCUUACCAAGGCAACGAUGCGUAGCCGACCUGAGAGGGUGAUCGGCCACACUGGAACUGAGACACGGCCGAGACUCCUGCGGGAGGCAGCAGUAGGGAAUCUUACGCAAUGGGCGAAAGCCUGACGGAGCAACGCCGCGUGAGUGAUGAAGGUCCUCGGAUCGUAAAACUCUGUUAUUAGGGAAGAACAAAUGUGUAAGUAACUAUGCACGUAUUGACGGUACCUAAUCAGAAAGCCACGGCUAACUACGUG